rnacentral:rRNA from 1 species
CCUACGGGAGGCUGCAGUGGGGAAUAUUGCACAAUGGGCGCAAGCCUGAUGCAGCCAUGCCGCGUGUGUGAAGAAGGCCUUCGGGUUGUAAAGCACUUUCAGCGGGGAGGAAGGCGGUGAGGUUAAUAACCUCAUCGAUUGACGUUACCCGCAGAAGAAGCACCGGCUAACUCCGUGCCAGCAGCCGCAGUAAUACGGAGGGUGCAAGCGUUAAUCGGAAUUACUGGGCGUAAAGCGCACGCAGGCGGUCUGUCAAGUCGGAGGUGAAAUCCCCGGGCUCAACCUGGGAACUGCAUUCGAAACUGGCAGGCUAGAGUCUUGUAGAGGGGGGUCGAAUUCCAGGUGUAGCGGUGAAAUGCGUAGAGAUCUGGAGGAAUACCGGUGGCGAAGGCGGCCCCCUGGACAAAGACUGACGCUCAGGUGCGAAAGCGUGGGGAGUAAACAGGAUUAGAUACCCUGGUAGUC